AGCGAACGCUGGCGGCAGGCCUAACACAUGCAAGUCGAACGGAUCCUUCGGGAUUAGUGGCGGACGGGUGAGUAACACGUGGGAACGUGCCCUUUGGUUCGGAACAACUCAGGGAAACUUGAGCUAAUACCGGAUGUGCCCUUCGGGGGAAAGAUUUAUCGCCAUUGGAGCGGCCCGCGUCUGAUUAGCUAGUUGGUGAGGUAACGGCCCACCAAGGCGACGAUCAGCAGCUGGUCUGAGAGGAUGAUCAGCCACACUGGGACUGAGACACGGCCCAGACUCCUACGGGAGGCAGCAGUGGGGAAUCUUGCGCAAUGGGCGAAAGCCUGACGCAGCCAUGCCGCGUGAAUGAUGAAGGUCUUAGGAUUGUAAAAUUCUUUCAGCGGGGACGAUAAUGACGGUACCCGCAGAAGAAGCUCCGGCUAACUUCGUG
rnacentral:rRNA from 1 species